AGAGUAAGCCUUGCUUAAAACCCAGAGUAAGCCUGUGGUCCCUGGCAUUCAGGAAUGCGCACCAGUGUUCCUGAAGAGCAGUGGACUGCACUGGUUCUGGGUAAGGAAGGCCUUGCUGACUGAGGAGUGCAUCUUGGUGCUGCUUUUUACCACAGAGAAAUGGAGCAGCAAAAGAUGUCUGAUCCUGAAUCUGCAACAAAAGCCUCUUGUGUAAAAAUAGUCUGCAUCAAUUUGCUCUUAAG